AGCUUUGUACAGUGGCAGUAUCAUAGCCAAUGAGGUUUAUCCGAAGCGCAAUUAUUGCUAAUUGAAAACUUUUCCUAAUACCCCGCCGUGAUGACUUGCGCAAUACAGUCGGCACUGGCAAUUUUUGACAGUCUCUACAGAGA
rnacentral:snRNA from 1 species